UACGAAGGGGGCUAGCGUUUUUCGGAAUUACUGGGCGUAAAGCGCGUGUAGGCGGGCCGUUAAGUCGGGGGUGAAAGCCCAGAGCUCAACUCUGGAAUUGCCUUCGAUACUGGCGGCCUGGAGCAUGAUAGAGGCGAGUGGAAUUGCGAGUGUAGAGGUGAAAUUCGUAGAUAUUCGCAGGAACACCAGUGGCGAAGGCGACUCGCUGGAUCAUUGCUGACGCUGAGACGCGAAGUCGUGGGGAGCAAACAGG
rnacentral:rRNA from 1 species